UCACAAGCUGUCAGCAUCGGUGUGUUCCACAAAUCAAUUCUGUGUGGGGUUGCUAUUAACGUGUUAUCCCAAGUAAGUCAGCAAGGUCCAAGUCAAAAGAAAGCUACACCAAUAAAAAUCAGACAAGCAUUGCAGAUGCUACAAAGUGAGUCCCAAAUCUUAAAAAAGAAAAGGUAUUUUGAAAUUGUCAUAGUUACGGUGAAGCAAGAUAACACGAAACCUGGAAUCGCGUCUCAUCUAUGUGUGAAUUGUUAUGAUGGCAUUUCGGCGACUGCGACAGACUGUUGCUGCGUGUUGGAGUCAUCAAUGAAACUACCAAAAAGUCCGGGAAUGUGAAAGAAACCAAGGCAGCAACAAAGGUCAAUAAAAAAACAGGAGCAAAGAAGUGACUGGAAACAUCUAGCGCACAUCAACAGCCUAAACUCAAAAUUGUCCAGUC